GAAUCUACUGUAAUUACGAACCACCGAUUUAUGCCCCGGACGCUCGCAUGCUCUGUUGAUCGCGCAUUUGAGAUCUUCCUAUAGAUGACGGAUAUUUGUGUUUCAGCGUUGGGAUCUGCAUCUGUGGUCCGUGAGGAAAUGGCGACGGAGAAGAAGAUGGGAAGCGGUGGAAGAAGGUCCUGCCUGAUUCAACCUCUCAUCUUCCUUCAACUGGUGGCCAUAUCUGAUCCUCGUUCUGAAACAGGAGAUCCUCCGGCAGGGCUUCGAGCGCGAGAAUUUCCCUAAAAUCGGAACCGCGCGCGCCGAAAGAGGAGCAGCAGCCGUUCGAAUUGAAGGACAACGUGUUACCUACCGCCCCCGCACCCCCCCCGAGGGACGAAGCCCAAAGCACCCGACCAGAUCCGGCGGCUGGUCCAUCCGAUUCGAGAUCCCCUUUCAGAGAGGUGAAGGUCGAAGACGACAGGGAUUUCCGCAGCCCUCCGGAUCCCUCGAAGCGAGAUUCCUCCUCCUCGCAUCCGGUGUCGAUCUCCAGGCGGCCGCAGCGGAGGUCGACGGUCGGCGUCUCCUACAAGGAGAUGUCCCUAAGAGUGAAGAUGCGGAGGUCGUAGCGAUCCGCCAGUUCUUCCCGGAGCGGCAGCCCCCCCUUGGCUUCAGCCACAUCCUGUAACUCUCCUCCAUCUCCGACAUUGAAAUGCCCGACCAGGUAGAGCGGCCUCCUCCUCAUCUGCGGGAUGGGGAGGAAGCAGGAGGAGAGCGCGCCGCCGUCUUGAUGUAUUUUUAUCUUGAUCCCUCCGCGAGUGACACGUGCAACGUGUCCAGGACGGCCCUCGGCGUAGUCUAAUCUUGCGUACGUACGUCGAUGUCGCUGAGAGAGAUAGAGAAAUUAAAUGGGGCCCAC
rnacentral:lncRNA from 1 species